GAUGAAGAACGUAGCGAAAUGCGAUAAGUAGUGUGAAUUGCAGAAUUCAGUGAAUCAUCGAAUCUUUGAACGCACAUUGCGCCCCUUGGUAUUCCAUGGGGCAUGCCUGUUCGAGCGUCAUUUGUACACUCAAGCUUUGCUUGGUGUUGGGUGUUUGUCCCGCGUUGCGCGUGGACUCGCCUUAAAGCGAUUGGCAGCCGGCAUAUUGGCCUUGGAGCGCAGCACAUUUUGCGCUUCUAGUCAUGAAUGUUGGCGUCCAUUAAGCCUAUACAUUUGCUCUUGACCUCGGAUCAGGUAGGGAUACCCGCUGAACUUAAGCAUAUCAUAAGCGGAGGA
rnacentral:misc_RNA from 1 species